ACACACCGCCCGUCACACCAUGGGAGUGGGUUGCAAAAGAAGUAGGUAGCUUAACCUUCGGGGGGGCGCUUACCACUUUGUGAUUCAUGACUGGGGUGAAGUCGUAACAAGGUAACCGUAGGGGAACCUGCGGUUGGAUCACCUCCUUACCUUAAAGAAGC
rnacentral:rRNA from 1 species